rnacentral:rRNA from 1 species
GACGAACGCUGGCGGCGUGCUUAACGCAUGCAAGUCGAACGGAAAGGCCCUGCUUUUGUGGGGUGCUCGAGUGGCGAACGGGUGAGUAACACGUGAGUAACCUGCCCUUGGCUUUGGGAUAACUUCAGGAAACUGGGGCUAAUACCGGAUAGGAGCUCCUGCUGCAUGGUGGGGGUUGGAAAGUUUCGGCGGUUGGGGAUGGACUCGCGGCUUAUCAGCUUGUUGGUGGGGUAGUGGCUUACCAAGGCUUUGACGGGUAGCCGGCCUGAGAGGGUGACCGGCCACAUUGGGACUGAGAUACGGCCCAGACUCCUACGGGAGGCAGCAGUGGGGAAUAUUGCACAAUGGGCGGAAGCCUGAUGCAGCAACGCCGCGUGCGGGAUGACGGCCUUCGGGUUGUAAACCGCUUUCGCCUGUGACGAAGCGUGAGUGACGGUAAUGGGUAAAGAAGCACCGGCUAACUACGUG